CAGCGACGCCGCGUGUGGGAUGACGGCCUUCGGGUUGUAAACCACUGUCGGGAGGGACGAAUGCGCCGCAAGGCGAGUGACGGUACCUCCAAAGGAAGCACCGGCUAACUCCGUGCCAGCAGCCGCGGUAAUACGGAGGGUGCGAGCGUUGUCCGGAAUCACUGGGCGUAAAGGGCGCGUAGGCGGCCUGAUAAGUAGGGGGUGAAAUCCUGCGGCUUAACCGCAGGGCUGCCUUCUAAACUGUCAGGCUCGAGCACAGUAGAGGCAGGUGGAAUUCCCGGUGUAGCGGUGGAAUGCGUAGAGAUCGGGAAGAACAUCAGUGGCGAAGGCGGCCUGCUGGGCUGUUGCUGACGCUGAGGCGCGACAGCGUGGGGAGCAAACAGGAUUAGAUACCCUGGUAGUCCACGCCGUAAACGAUGGGCACUAGGCGUCGGGGGGAGCGACCCUCCCGGUGCCGUCGCUAACGCAGUAAGUGCCCCGCCUGGGGAGUACGGCCGCAAGGCUG
rnacentral:rRNA from 1 species